GUCGCCAAUUCCAAGAGGAAAGCGCCUGAAAGCCACUGAGGCAGCGGCGUAGCCGGCGGAGGACCACUGUGACGAACUUGUGUCCUGCGUCAACAGUGUGUGGAACGUUGGCGACUUCGGCGCUCGAGCUGCACUCGGCUGGGCUCUUGGCAGCACCCUGUGCUCUGAGGGUGUCUUGCCCGCCGGGCGCCGUGGCUCACGCCUGUAAUCCCAACACUUUGGGAGGCUGAGGCGGGCGGAUCACUUGAGGUCAAGAGUUCAAGACCAGCCUGGCCAACAUGGUGAAAGCCCAUCUCUACUAAAAAUACAAAAAUUAGCCAGGUGUGGUGGCAGGUGCCUGUAGUCCCAGCUAUUUGGGAGGCUGAGGCAGGAGAAUCGCUUGAACCCAGGAGGUGGAGGUUGCAGUACGAUUCUACUCUAAAAGUCACCAGGAAAAAUUCAGCUCCACUGGUCCUGGCUCUAAGUCUACUAGCAAAAUCUUCCAGAGAAGUGGAAAAGCCAUCAGCCAAUGUGUUAGACUAUCAUUUCCAUGACCUUACACCUAUCAAAAAGGCACUAUUACCAGGCUUAUAGAAUUCUAAAAAAGUUGGAAACCAUUUUCCAUUAUAAAAGAAAUUCUUCCAAAUCACACAAAACACUCUGACGCUUCUCCAAUUCCCCCUUUCAAUGUUCCGCAAAUGUGCUGGUUUGAAGGAAAAAAAAUUCAAUGUGGCACAUGUUUAAAAAUAUAAUGAAGACAUAGACAUUAUCAAAUACAACUGAUAGCACUAACCUUCCCUUUGAACCGUCCCUAAACAUCCACACUCACAUGUCCUUUAAAUACAAACCACUUUUCUCCAGGCUUCCUAACUUGGUAAAUCCAGGUACCUUCCCAGGUCGUUCAGAGAAUUGGGAGCCUCGUUCCACAUCACUUUUCCCCAGCCCAGCAGCACAAAACCAAUCAGCUGACAAAUUCAUUUCCACCUCUCAAGGCCUCUCAUAUUAAUCCCUCCUUUCCACACAUAUACUGCCCUAGCUCAGACCCUCUCAUACUUCUUAAACUGACACAGACAACCUCACUUGGAGGCUAACUGGUCUCCUUAUCUUUAAUCCCAAAAUACACCUAUUUACCACACAGAUCCAAAACCUCGUAACUCCUUUCUCAAAAUCCUGUAAUGCCCUGUCAAUUGCAUUCAGAAGAAAACCACCUUUUCAUCCUUUCUCCCUUUAAGAGCACAUUGGUAAGAGUGUAAAUCCCAGUUCUACCACUUAGUAGGUUUAUUUCAUUUGUAACCUCUAUCUCAUUUGUAAAAAAAAAGAAUCAUAGUACUCUCUUCUCAAUAAAACUGUUCUAAGGAAAUAAUUAAUACUAAUAAAGCACUGAGAACAAUGCCUAGCACAUAGAAAAUGCCCAAAAAAGGUUAUUAUUGUUAUCCAAACCCUAUCCUGCCUCACCCUACAGACUACUUGUACUUUUAUAAGUAUUUAUUCUACAGAUUUAUUGAGUCCUUAUGACUAGGAGAUGAAGAUACAAAUAUCCAUUAAAAAAUGUUCCGCAUUAUCUAGCCUUCCUGCCUGUGCCUGUGUGGUUUCUCCUUGCCCUGAAUGCUCCUUUCUACCUACAGAUAUCCUACUCAACCCCAAGGUCCAAACGAAGACUGACAUGUCUCUCAGAGAUGAGGCUUUGAUUUUGCCAUGUCCUCCCAUUGGAUGUCAUCUUCCCAUCAGUCAAUCAACGAUGAUCUCACUCUUUCCCUGUGGCUGGAGUACAGUGGCAU
rnacentral:lncRNA from 1 species